rnacentral:tRNA from 1 species
GAACCCGUAGCUCAGAGGUAGAGCGUGUGAUUCCAGUAUUGGUUGGAAUCUCCACAAGGUCAUCCGUUCAAUCCGGGUCGGGUUCA